UACGUAGGGUGCAAGCGUUGUCCGGAAUUAUUGGGCGUAAAGAGCUCGUAGGCGGUCUGUCGCGUCGGCUGUGAAAACCCGGAGCUCAACUCCGGGCCUGCAUUCGAUACGGGCAGACUGGAGUUCGGCAGGGGAGACUGGAAUUCCUGGUGUAGCGGUGAAAUGCGCAGAUAUCAGGAGGAACACCGGUGGCGAAGGCGGGUCUCUGGGCCGAUACUGACGCUGAGGAGCGAAAGCGUGGGGAGCGAACAGG
rnacentral:rRNA from 1 species